rnacentral:tRNA from 1 species
GGCUCUGUAGUGAAGUUCAUGGUGAGUUGCAAGCUCAUCGAUGUGCACUGAUAGUGCACCGGAGUCU